GAUGAACGCUGGCGGCGUGCUUAACACAUGCAAGUCGAACGGGAUCCAAGGGGUGCUUGCACUUUUUGGUGAGAGUGGCGAACGGGUGAGUAACACGUGAGUAACCUGUCCUUUUCUUUGGGAUAAGCAUUCGAAAGGGUGUUUAAUACCUUAUGUUCUGUCUGCCUCGCAUGGGGUGGGUGGGAAAGGCUUUGGCCGAAUUUGGGUGGGCUCGCGGUCUAUCAGCUUGUUGGUGGGGUGAUGGCUUACCAAGGCUUUGACGGGUAGCCGGCCUGAGAGGGUGGUCGGUCACAUUGGGACUGAGAUACGGCCCAGACUCCUGCGGGAGGCAGCAGUGGGGGAUAUUGCACAAUGGGCGAAAGCCUGAUGCAGCGACGCCGCGUGGGGGAUGAAGGCCUUCGGGUUGUAAACUUCUUUUGCUCUGAACAAGGCAUGCCAGUGGGUGUGUUGAGUGUAGGGGUUGAUUAGCGCCGGCUAACUACGUG
rnacentral:rRNA from 1 species